UACGAAGGGGGGCUAGCGUUGCUCGGAUUUACUUGGGCGUAAAGGGCGCGUAGGCGGAUGUUUAAGUCGGGGGUGAAAGCCCGGGGCUCAACCUCCGGAAUUGCCUUCGAUACUGGACAUCUUGAGUACGGGAGAGGUGAGUGGAACUCCGGAGUGUAGAGGUGAAAUUCGUAGAUAAUUCGGAAGAACACCAGUGGCGAAGGCGACUCACUGGCCCGUUACUGACGCUGACGGCGCGAAAGCGUGGGGA
rnacentral:rRNA from 1 species